rnacentral:lncRNA from 7 species
GAGCUGCUGGUGUGAUGUAGAAAAGCAGGUACAGGGACCUUUUUGUGAGGGUGAGUUAUUCCACGUUUGGUAGUAUAUAGACCAUGUCUGUGAGACAUGGGAAGCAGCAUGGAGGGCCGUUGGACUGUCCAGCACUGCAGCUGGGUGCUGCUGUGCCCAGAGAUCAUGGGGACCUUUUACCACGUGUUGGCAUUGUCUCCUUCCUGGGACAGAUCCUGAAGUCUCAUCCUUCUCCCACACAUCUUUUUCAGAGGAGAUCCAGGCACAAGGAAGAGCAGGGGAGGAUGCAGAGAAAGAAGUUCUGGAGAAGGAGAACGAGGAGCUCCGUGCCAAGUAUGGUGAGUUGCUGUGCUUGCCCACAAGCAUUCCCGAUGGGGGUAAGGCCUUGGGGAUGGUGAGGGGGGCUAUUCCAGCCAUGACAGGUGUUCCAAGUCAGCCUUUUGAGUAUGCCUGCAUGUUA